CCAAAUGAGUGUGUGAUGUAUCACAAUCAAACCAAAGUAGAAAAUACCAACUAUUGCAAAUUAAUUUAGUUUUCUUGAACAAUAGUAGGGAUAGUCGAUUUUUGGUGACUUAAUCGUUAUCUGUCAUUUGCGUGUUGGAAAAGGUUCAAAUUGCAACUUGACAUUACAACAGAAAUGUUUGAAUUUAAUUGUGCUUCAAAUUUGCCACAAUACGCUCUUUUUUGCAUUUUUUAGUCAAUAAAACACUCAAACAGACAAGGCGUGCGUUUUUCUUCACUACCAGGACCCAGAAACUUCGCAUUAACUCCAGCAAUAGAGGCAUACAGUUAUCUAUUGGAAUUUUUGAAAACAAUAGGAGUCCAGAAAUUGCAGACCCAUAUAUCUUGGAUAUUUUGACUAUCAUUAAUUAUACCAAUAGUCAAAUUUAUAUGAGCUUAAGUAAACGACUGAAAAUCUGCAUUGCAUUAAUAUGUACACUGUACAUAGAGUAGUUACUACAGCCCAAAUACAGACAGCUGCAGGCAACACAUUUACUUCUGCCUCAAGUGUUUCAAGCGUUGUCAGUGCUGUUCGUAAUGAAACGGAAGUGAGCAGUAUAUUAGCACCAAUUGCAACAAAAACUUCAACGGGGAGCAGUAUUGCUGGUGAUAUUCCUGAUGGUAUAAAUAUAAUGUGCGAUACUGGUAGUCACCUACAUGCAUCGGCAGGAACGACACAUAUACGAGGUAUAUCAGCCUCCAAUUCGAACAAUAUGCUGAAUGCCUCGAAGACCGGUGAAACAACACAUGUGCCGUUGUUGAAUUUUUCGUCAAAGUCCAUUUCUAGUUAUUCGAACAAUUUGAAGACUUCUACACAUGUAUCGAGAUCACUGCAAAAUGUGAUACCAACUUGCGUCUACCUGAUGUCUCGUAUCGCAGUUCAUAUGGAAAUUGAAGGGACUGAGCAGUGUCCCUCGCAGGUUAUGUUAGCCGCGGCAUUAGGAUGUGAGGAGUUGGGAAUAGCAAACAAAUUACUUGCCCAAAGUAUAUUUGGACUUUGGAUGACCAGUGCGCUUCUUGAAAUUCAACUUAAAGCUCACCACCGGCCAUAUGUGGUUCGUGCUUCUUGGCAAAACUUAUUGGAAAAAUUCAGUCAUGCCAACCGUAUCGAAAAAAGGUUUGACGAGCCAAUGGUGAUGCUGAAGCGAAAUGUUUUCUUCUCAAGAAAGGACGAGGAAAAAAUUAAAGAUCACAGGAUUUUGGAAUUGCUGUAUGAGGAGGCUAAAUACAAUGUGAUAUCUGGACGAUAUGUAAUGGAAUCAGUUCAUGCACUUAUGUUAGGAGGAAUUCAGGCCCGUAUUGAGCUGGGGCCUUUCAAUUCCCAUUCUCAUACAAAUGGAUUUUUCAGGGAAAAUCAAUUGAGAUUUUUACCGCAGCAUGUUGCUAAAAACUCAAGUCUGUCGUGGCUUCCCAUCAGUCGGAAAAACUCGGCGGAAGUAAGACUUUUAGAGCAAUACAAACGAGUACCGCAAACUGCAACAUCAAGAAAAUUAAUGCGAAAAUAUUUGGAAUUCUGCUGGGCUCUUCCAUUUUAUGGGUCAGCUUUUUUUCAUGGCCAAAUAGAACAACCGGUACGAGGUAUAAUAAGUUUUAUCACUCACAAGGACAGUGACGUAUUGAUAGCAGUUAAUGAGAGAGGAGUCUUUGUCAUAGAUACAAUGGAAUCGACUUUAUUGAUAGGUUUGCGAUACGAAGAUCUAUCUUGGGAUUAUGCAAAACCGAGUGCUACAGAUGACCCGUUGUGUAUCACAUGUAUAUUUCUUCAGUUUCAGGUCAUGGAGAAUGGAAUUCAAAUUUCAAAGCUUAUGCAAAUAUUUACGAAGCAAGCUUCAAUGAUUGAUGCACUAAUAGCCCACUUUACAGAAUACACAAAAAAGAGGCGGAGUCUCGAACUCGAUGAACCAAACCCUAUUCAAAGCAAUGGUAACGGAAUAUUGUCGAAUAAACUAUCUCGGUUAACUCUGGCAACAUUUGACGAUGAAGGUCGAUGCAUUGGACAAAUGGGAUCAAUUUCAAUCAGUUAUUAAAUAUAUAUUUUUUGAAGACACUUUUUCAAAGGUGAACCCAUGGCACAUUUUAGCUCAGCCAGUUGACACCGCGGGAGAUUUGAUGAAGGAAGACCAAGAAAAGCCUGGAUUUUGCAAAUCUCAUGUGAAAAGAGGCCAACAAAUCCGAAAAUUCACCAAUGCAAAGUUUGCUGGAGAUACCACUCUCCGGUUCUGUAAGUAGUUCUUGCAGAUGAAAGCCGCCGAGCGCAAACAUGUCGUAGGCAAACACAAUUAUUGUUCUAAUUACUUGCUGAGUCAUAAUUUACGACGCUGUACUUCCCAACUUACUUGCAGAAACUGUGGAGAUUGCCAUCACACGCUGCUGCAUCAUACUUUGCAUCCUCGAAUCAAAUCAGAACCAACGAAAAUCCAUCCAAGUACCCAUCGCCAAACAAAAAGUGGACGCACCAAAUUGAAGGGCACCAGAAAACCUCCCUCACAACCUAAUCAACGGCCAAGCAACCAAAUUUAACUUAUUCCAUCCGAUCAGCAACAAAUCAUCACCACAGCCGUUAAAUCUUCAGCUACUUUACUUGUUUAAAUCUCUAUUUUUUGCAUUCCUGCAAAGAACUCCAGUAUUUAUUUAUUUAUUUUGAAGUACAACAAGUUUUACAACUUAUAUUUGUAGUAAUACCCAUAAUGUGUAAUUUACAAUAUUAGAGGUCAUUUCUGAUAAAUUGUGCUUAUAGAAAACUAAUUGCAACGUAUUAAUAAAGACAAAUGUAUAUGAAUAUUAAUUAAACCUUAUAAAAAAACACUAUAUUUACUUCAAACGAUAUUUAAAAAAACAAAAAUAAUUUAGUACAAUCUGAAAAAUAAUUUUACCUAAAAAAAAUUAUUGAAAUAAAGAAUUAGUAAAAAAAAGUAAUUCCCAAAAUCGUUAAAUAUUUAAACAUUAGUCCAACAAAGUGAAGGAGUUUUGAAGCUUAUAAUUAAAAGUAGUGGCAUUUGGAUAUUUCUCAAGGGUAUUAUAAGGGAGUUCCAGAGACGAAUUACAUACAUAAAAAACUGUCUAUCAGAGACUAGACGACUUCCGAACUGUAUCAAGCAGUUUGUUCUCAAGGAACGUGAAAAUAUCAGAAAGAUAUUCAGAUUUACGUGUAAAUAUUAUCUCAUGCAAGGCAACCAAACUACGCUGAUACAAUAUCCUUGCAAAAUCCAUCUUAUAAAAUUGAUAAGCUAGGAGUGACUCGCUGCUGGAACGUUUUGCCUUAUAUACAAAUCUGACAAUGUCGUUUUCAAGUAGUUUUAAUUAAUUCUUAUAGGCAUUAUCACAGUUAGCAUAUAUCUAUGAUUAUGUCCAAAACAAUAAACUGUUUAAAUUUCCAUUUAAUCUUAUUGAAUUCUUCGAAAUGUAAA